GAUGAACGCUGGCGGCGUGCCUAAUACAUGCAAGUCGAGCGAACGGACGAGAAGCUUGUUUCUCUGAUGUUAGCGGCGGACGGGUGAGUAACACAUGCAUAACCUACCUAUAAGACUGGGAUAACUUCGGAAAACCGGAGCUAAUCCCGGAUAAUAUUUUGAACCGCAUGGUUCAAAAGUGAAAGACAGUCUUGCUGUCACUUAUAGAUGGAUCCGCGCUGCAUUAGCUAGUUGGUAAGGUCACGCCUUACCAAGGCAACGAUGCAUAGCCGACCUGAGAGGGUGAUCGGCCACACUGGAACUGAGACACGGUACAGCCCAGUACGCGAGGGAGCAGUAGGGAAUGGUCCGCAAUGGGAGAAAGCCUGACGGAGCCAAGCAGCGUGGGUGAUGAAGGGAUUGGGAUCGUAAAGCUAAGUUAUUAGGGAAGAAAAGAAGUGUAAGUAAAUGAGAACAUCAUGACGGUACCUAAUCAGAAAGCCACGGCUAACUACGUG
rnacentral:rRNA from 1 species